rnacentral:rRNA from 1 species
CGGGACACGUGGUAUCCUGUCUGAAUAUGGGGGGACCAUCCUCCAAGGCUAAAUACUCCUGACUGACCGAUAGUGAACCAGUACCGUGAGGGAAAGGCGAAAAGAACCCCGGCGAGGGGAGUGAAAAAGAACCUGAAACCGUGUACGUACAAGCAGUGGGAGCACGCUUAGGCGUGUGACUGCGUACCUUUUGUAUAAUGGGUCAGCGACUUAUAUUCUGUAGCAAGGUUAACCGAAUAGGGGAGCCGAAGGGAAACCGAGUCUUAACUGGGCGUUAAGUUGCAGGGUAUAGACCCGAAACCCGGUGAUCUAGCCAUGGGCAGGUUGAAGGUUGGGUAACACUAACUGGAGGACCGAACCGACUAAUGUUGAAAAAUUAGCGGAUGACUUGUGGCUGGGGGUGAAAGGCCAAUCAAACCGGGAGAUAGCUGGUUCUCCCCGAAAGCUAUUUAGGUAGCGCCUCGUGAAUUCAUCUCCGGGGGUAGAGCACUGUUUCGGCAAGGGGGUCAUCCCGACUUACCAACCCGAUGCAAACUGCGAAUACCGGAGAAUGUUAUCACGGGAGACACACGGCGGGUGCUAACGUCCGUCGUGAAGAGGGAAACAACCCAGACCGCCAGCUAAGGUCCCAAAGUCAUGGUUAAGUGGGAAACGAUGUGGGAAGGCCCAGACAGCCAGGAUGUUGGCUUAGAAGCAGCCAUCAUUUAAAGAAAGCGUAAUAGCUCACUGGUCGAGUCGGCCUGCGCGGAAGAUGUAACGGGGCUAAACCAUGCACCGAAGCUGCGGCAGCGACGCUGAUGCGUUGUUGGGUAGGGGAGCGUUCUGUAAGCCUGUGAAGGUGUGCUGUGAGGCAUGCUGGAGGUAUCAGAAGUGCGAAUGCUGACAUAAGUAACGAUAAAGCGGGUGAAAAGCCCGCUCGCCGGAAGACCAAGGGUUCCUGUCCAACGUUAAUCGGGGCAGGGUGAGUCGACCCCUAAGGCGAGGCCGAAAGGCGUAGUCGAUGGGAAACAGGUUAAUAUUCCUGUACUUGGUGUUACUGCGAAGGGGGGACGGAGAAGGCUAUGUUGGCCGGGCGACGGUUGUCCCGGUUUAAGCGUGUAGGCUGGUUUUCCAGGCAAAUCCGGAAAAUCAAGGCUGAGGCGUGAUGACGAGGCACUACGGUGCUGAAGCAACAAAUGCCCUGCUUCCAGGAAAAGCCUCUAAGCAUCAGGUAACAUCAAAUCGUACCCCAAACCGACACAGGUGGUCAGGUAGAGAAUACCAAGGCGCUUGAGAGAACUCGGGUGAAGGAACUAGGCAAAAUGGUGCCGUAACUUCGGGAGAAGGCACGCUGAUAUGUAGGUGAAGCGACUUGCUCGUGGAGCUGAAAUCAGUCGAAGAUACCAGCUGGCUGCAACUGUUUAUUAAAAACACAGCACUGUGCAAACACGAAAGUGGACGUAUACGGUGUGACGCCUGCCCGGUGCCGGAAGGUUAAUUGAUGGGGUCAGCGCAAGCGAAGCUCUUGAUCGAAGCCCCGGUAAACGGCGGCCGUAACUAUAACGGUCCUAAGGUAGCGAAAUUCCUUGUCGGGUAAGUUCCGACCUGCACGAAUGGCGUAAUGAUGGCCAGGCUGUCUCCACCCGAGACUCAGUGAAAUUGAACUCGCUGUGAAGAUGCAGUGUACCCGCGGCAAGACGGAAAGACCCCGUGAACCUUUACUAUAGCUUGACACUGAACAUUGAGCCUUGAUGUGUAGGA